AGUCCGUGAGUCGGGCAUUGAAUUAGUAGCUUCUUAAACCGCAGCCAUGUUUCAUGGAUGGGUUCACCUUCCAAUCGUUUGAAACCUUGAAUGUUGUCUAUGAGUUU